rnacentral:rRNA from 1 species
GACGAACGCUGGCGGCGCGCCUAACACAUGCAAGUCGAACGAGCGAGAGAGAGCUUGCUUUCUCGAGCGAGUGGCGAACGGGUGAGUAACGCGUGAGGAACCUGCCUCAAAGAGGGGGACAACAGUUGGAAACGACUGCUAAUACCGCAUAAGCCCACGACCCGGCAUCGGGUUGAGGGAAAAGGAGCAAUCCGCCUUGAGAUGGCCUCGCGUCCGAUUAGCUGGUUGGUGAGGUAACGGCCCACCAAGGCAACGAUCGGUAGCCGGACUGAGAGGUUGAACGGCCACAUUGGGACUGAGACACGGCCUAGACUCCUACGGGAGGCAGCAGUGGGGAAUAUUGCACAAUGGGGGAAACCCUGAUGCAGCGACGCCGCGUGGAGGAAGAAGGUCUUCGGAUUGUAAGCUCCUGUUGUUGAGGAAGAUAAUGACGGUACUCAACAAGGAAGUGACGGCUAACUACGUGCCAGCAGCCGCGGUAAAACGUAGGUCACAAGCGUUGUCCGGAAUUACUGGGUGUAAGGGAGCGCAGGCGGGUCUGCAAGUUGGAAGUGAAACCCAUGGGCUCAACCCAUGAACUGCUUUCAAAACUGCGGAUCUUGAGUGGUGUAGAGGUAGGCGGAAUUCCCGGUGUAGCGGUGGAAUGCGUAGAUAUCGGGAGGAACACUAGUGGCGAAGGCGGCCUACUGGGCACUAACUGACGCUGAGGCUCGAAAGCAUGGGUAGCAAACAGG